rnacentral:lncRNA from 1 species
UUGUAGUCUUCUUGUCCAGUUCUCAGGUGUUUACCACCUAUUAGAAUUUCACCUGUAUGGGUCCUGUGUUUGAGAAAGUCCCAGGACUUGUCAGCUGUAUAGGCCUCAUAAAAGACAGCUCUGUUCAGGGUUUGAAAGGGACUGCAGUUAAAAGCCAGGGCUAGGACUUGGAGGAUGUGUAGGCAAACGGAAGGAGAGCCGGGGGAAGAAAAACCGAAAUGGAUUCAUUCUCUGUCCUGGAUGGAGGAGGAGAGGAGAGGAGAGGAGAAGGGGACGUGCGAGCUUCCUUCAACUGCCUCUGUCCGGUGAAAAGUGCUCAGACCCCCGGGGCUGAGCCGGGCUCAGGAGUCCACGCGGACUUUCGCUUUAAGCUGCCAAUCAAACCGCUAACUAGCCACCACCCUGCGCUGGCACCGACAUGGUCUGCGGGAUCUCCCUCUGUGAGAGGCAACUCGGGCAGCUCGGUCCUCUCUGCAGUCUCAGCACUGCCAGUGGAGAAGCCCAGGAGUGCAGAGCAGUGGCUGAGCAGCAAUUUGAAUAUUCAUAUUUAA